rnacentral:rRNA from 1 species
GAUUAACGCUGGCGGCGUGCAUAACACAUGCAAGUCGAACGAAGUGGCGGACGGGUGAGUAACGCGUGAGUAACCUGCCUUAGAGAAGGGGAUAGCCUUUGGAAACGAAGAAUAAUACCCUAUAUUAUAAGAUGGACUUGCGUCUGAUUAGUUAGUUGGUGGGGUAACGGACCACCAAGACAGCGAUCAGUAGCCGGAUUGAGAGAGUGUACGGCCACAUUUGGACUGAGACAAGGCCCAGACUCUACGGGAGGCAGCAGUGGGGAAUUUUGCACAAUGGGGGAAACCAGGAUGCAGCGACGCCGCGUGAUUUAGAAGGCCUUCGGGUUGUAAAAAUCUUUUCUAUGGGAAGCAGUACCAUAGGAAUAAGGACCGGCUAAUUACGUGCCAGCAGCCGCGGUAAUAC